rnacentral:lncRNA from 1 species
GUUGGUUGGCUCUCUAGGAUAAUUAAUAGAGAACCAUUCUAGUCAUCAAAAAAGGCUUCACAUGGAGACAGAAUUAUCAGAAUUGGCUAAAUUGCCUUGUUACACUGUCAUUGAAUCCCACCUACCAAAAGUUGCCUUGUUUUAAUGAGAUUUUUUUUCAUUAAAUUGGUACAUUUCUGAAAACAGUGAAGAAGCUUCCUGUGUUUUCAGAAAAGGUAGGUAGGUGGGUAUAUCUAGAAAUGACUACCUAAAGAGUUCUAAAGCAAUACUUGAUAAAGGGGAAAAG